GCGUUGUCCGGAAUUAUUGGGCGUAAAGAGCUUGUAGGCGGUCUGUCGCGUCUGCUGUGAAAAUCCGGGGCUCAACCCCGGACUUGCAGUGGGUACGGGCAGACUAGAGUGUGGUAGGGGAGACUGGAAUUCCUGGUGUAGCGGUGAAAUGCGCAGAUAUCAGGAGGAACACCGGUGGCGAAGGCGGGUCUCUGGGCCGAUACUGACGCUGAGGAGCGAAAGCGUGGGGAGCGAACAGG
rnacentral:rRNA from 1 species